AUUGAACGCUGGCGGCAUGCCUUACACAUGCAAGUCGAACGGUAACAGGUCUUCGGAUGCUGACGAGUGGCGAACGGGUGAGUAAUACAUCGGAACGUGCCCGAUCGUGGGGGAUAACGAAGCGAAAGCUUUGCUAAUACCGCAUAAGAUCUAAGGAUGAAAGCAGGGGACCGCAAGGCCUUGCGCGAACGGAGCGGCCGAUGGGAGAUUAGGUAGUUGGUGGGAUAAAAGCUUACCAAGCCGACGAUCUGUAGCUGGUCUGAGAGGACGACCAGCCACACUGGGACUGGGACACGGCCCAGACUCCUACGGGAGGCAGCAGUGGGGAAUUUUGGACAAUGGGCGAAAGCCUGAUCCAGCCAUGCCGCGUGCAGGAUGAAGGCCUUCGGGUUGUAAACUGCUUUUGUACGGAACGAAAAGACUCUUUCUAAUAAAGAGGGUCCAUGACGGUACCGUAAGAAUAAGCACCGGCUAACUACGUGCCAGCCGCCGCCGUAACAC
rnacentral:rRNA from 1 species